rnacentral:rRNA from 1 species
UUAAAAGCGUCAAAGCUUAGUCGGUUUAGAAUAACUAAUUCUAAAACCCCUAUAAAACCCUUAAACAAUACUGAGUAAUUCUAUAUAACUAUAGAAGAUCUUAUGUUAAAACUAGUAACAAGAAGAAGACCUUCUCUUAUAAUGCAAGUGUAAAUCAGAUAGGACACCCCACUGAUAAUUAACACCUGUGAACAAAAAAUAGCAACCUAACAAGAAAACCCUACUAAAUUAUACGUUAACCUAACACUAGAGCAUUCCAAGAAAGAUUAAAAGAAAAAGAAGGAACUCGGCAAACAUUAACCUCGCCUGUUUACCAAAAACAUCGCCUCUUGAAUAAAUAUAAGAGGUCCAGCCUGCCCAGUGACCAUGUUCAACGGCCGCGGUAUCCUAACCGUGCGAAGGUAGCGUAAUCACUUGUUCUUUAAAUAAGGACUAGUAUGAACGGCACCACGAAGGUUACGCUGUCUCCUUUCUCUAAUCAGUGAAACUAAUCCCCCCGUGAAGAAGCGGGGAUGAACAUAUAAGACGAGAAGACCCUAUGGAGCUUCAAACUUUAAAGGCACUUGCUCUAACAUUAACCCAAUUCCAGAAAACUACUACUACCCAAGCAAGAUGACCCUUAGUUUUAGGUUGGGGUGACCGCGGAGCAAAAAAAAACCUCCACAUUGAAAAGAGCCAACUCUUUAGCCAAGAGCCACACCUCUAAGCACCAACAAAAAGACAUUAAUUGACCCAAUAUUUUGAUCAACGAACCAAGUUACCCUAGGGAUAACAGCGCAAUCCACUUCAAGAGCCCCUAUCGACAAGUGGGUUUACGACCUCGAUGUUGGAUCAGUAUCCCGGUGGUGCAGCCGCUACCAAGGUCGUUUGUUCACGAUAAACCU